rnacentral:rRNA from 1 species
AAAUAACAAUACAGGGCUUUCGUCUUGUAAUUGGAAUGAUGGUGAUGUACAACCUCACCAGAGUACCAAUUGGAGGGCAAGUCUGGUGCCAGCAGCCGCGGUAAUUCCAGCUCCAAUAGCGUAUAUUAAACUUGUUGCAGUUAAAAAGCUCGUAGUUGUAUUUCAGCCUCGCGUUUUUUCCCUCUUUUCGGGUCUUUUCGCUGGCUUUUUUUUUACUUUGAGAAAAUUAGAGUGUUUCAAGCAGACUUUUGUCUUGAAUACUUCAGCAUGGAAUAAUAGAGUAGGACCUUGGUUCUAUUUUGUUGGUUUCGAGCCUUGGUAAUGGUUAAUAGGAACGGUUGGGGGCAUUCGUAUUUA